UACGUAGGGGGCAAGCGUUGUUCGGAAUUACUGGGCGUAAAGCGUGCGCAGGCGGCUUCUCAAGUCAGGGGUGAAAUCCCGGAGCUCAACUCCGGAACUGCCUUUGAUACUGGCGAUCUUGAGUCCGGGAGAGGUGAGUGGAACUGCGAGUGUAGAGGUGAAAUUCGUAGAUAUUCGCAAGAACACCAGUGGCGAAGGCGGCUCACUGGCCCGGUACUGACGCUGAGGUGCGAAAGCGUGGGGAGCAAACAGG
rnacentral:rRNA from 1 species